GACGUAGGGGCCAGCGUUGUUCGGAAUUACUGGGUGUAAAGGGUUCGUAGGCGGUGUAGCAAGUCGGGAGUGAAAUCCCCGGGCUCAACCUGGGAAUUGCAUUUGUGACUGCACGGCUAGAGUGUGUCAGAGGGGGUAGAAUUCCUACGUGUAGCAGUGAAAUGCGUAGAGAUGUGGAGGAAUACCGAUGGCGAAGGCAGCCCCCUGGGAUAACACUGACGCUCAUGCACGAAAGCGUGGGAGCAAACAGG
rnacentral:rRNA from 1 species